GCUCGGGCCGCCAUUUUGCCUUUUCUGUCCACUUCGACGUGCCUCGUCUGGGCUGCCUUCUGCGCCUCACCGUACCUCGAGUUCCUGCUGGUCUUAAUUACGCGCUAACAGUGGCAGCGCUUUUCGAAGUUGCACGCUGCGCACGUUCCCGCCUUCGGCCGACUCUGGAAGCACUGGCUUCAUGCCCCGGGCCUGCAAGACGUGAGGCACGCCUCGAGAGACUUGUAGCCCGACCCGCCCGCUGUCUCGGCAAUUCCUGGCCCCGCUUUCGAGCUCCCGGAGUGUAAGUGACCGCCAGCCGGCAUACCUACGUUACUAUACGCCGACGACACUCCGGUCGAGCCGGCGCAGCGUAUGUAAGCCGCAAGUCGUUCCUGCCGAGUACUCGUUCUUUUGUUUGUGCGCGCGCGUUUCCACCCCCCGACGGCGCCGGGACUAUGGAACUGUGGAUGAACUCUGAGCGUGGCCACUAACCCCAGGACCUGCACGGCAACCCCUCGUCACGGCGAGCGUCGUCUCUACGAGCUUCGCAUCGAGCGUCCUAAACGCUCAAAAGGCCUGUGUGUGCACUUCGUGCAUUUUUUUCUAGAUGGUCUAGCUGGCGAGGGUGGCGCAUGCCUUAGAGAAGUUAACUGUUUGUUCAGUUGCACUAGCUAGCGCUCACUAGGGUUGUAUAGCUACACUACAAAAUUGCGUAAUGUUAGUGUUGCUUAGCUGUAAGCCCGAGGUUUCGUGGGCAUGGCUUGCGGCCACACGGGUCUUCUCCGUGCCGGAAUCGAAGAGGACGGGCCACGUGUUGCGGGGUGGCGGCGUAUAGCUUCAGGUUUUAGCUGACACACAGGGUUAGCUUACACUGUGCAGGCUACAGCUGAUAGCCGUCCUCUUACGAUUGCGUCAGGGACAUGGACCCAUCCGAACGGCCUUGCGACCCGACCCCACUAUUUCGUGACGUAGAUAGCCCGCGCGCGUCAGUGCGCGUGCUAUUGAGCGAAAUGUGGAAUGACGGAAGCAAACGGCAUUCGGACAUUACCUCGCCAGCUAUUAGGCACUAACCCGCUCUACGCAGCACCUCGACGCCGGACGUCGCCUGCUGUUUUCGUCGGAGCUGGGCCGGGCAGCAGCUACAAGCAUCACUCGUACCGCGCGCGGCCUACCGUGUUCACUCGUCGGUGUGGCCUUGUGGCCCUGCACCGGGAUCCCGAGGUCCGCUUUCGAGAUUGCGGACCACGAGUAUGAAGGAUAUCCAGUGUGCUGCUCCACGUUUGCCAUCCUCCCAACGUCCCCCACCGGAGAUGGCCUUGAGCACCUCUUACCGUGGCUGACCGCGUUGGCUCCUUUGCAUUUCCACGUCCAUGGCGUCCUUCUGCUACGGGGGACUUCGUUUGCUACUGCUGCCCACGUGUAAGGUGGAUAUCCAGCGCGCUGCUCCACGUUUGCCAUCCUCCCAACGUCCCCAUUAGGAUAUGGCCUAGAGCACCGCUCCUACCGUGACCGACCGUUCCCCUUCGCCGGUGCGGUCUCGCUGGCAGACGAGAUUGCUCAUCGCCCUUCUUUGC
rnacentral:lncRNA from 1 species